GAUGAACGCUGGCGGCGUGCCUAAUACAUGCAAGUCGAGCGAACGGACGAGAAGCUUGCUUCUCUGAUGUUAGCGGCGGACGGGUGAGUAACACGUGGAUAACCUACCUAUAAGACUGGGAUAACUUCGGGAAACCGUAGCUAAUACCGGAUAAUAUUUUGAACCGCAUGGUUCAAAAGUGAAAGACGGUCUUGCUGUCACUUAUAGAUGGAUCCGCGCUGCAUUAGCUAGUUGGUAAGGUAACGGCUUACCAAGGCAACGAUGCAUAGCCGACCUGAGAGGGUGAUCGGCCACACUGGAACUGAGACACGGUCCAGACUCCUACGGGAGGCAGCAGUAGGGAAUCUUCCGCAAUGGGCGAAAGCCUGACGGAGCAACGCCGCGUGAGUGAUGAAGGUCUUCGGAUCGUAAAACUCUGUUAUUAGGGAAGAACAUAUGUGUAAGUACCUGUGCACAUCUUGACGGUACCUAAUCAGAAAGCCACGGCUAACUACGUG
rnacentral:rRNA from 1 species